AUGGUCACGUGACGUGCAGGAGACGGGAACGUGACGGUGGUAGAGUGGCGCCAGAGAUGGACCUGGGCUUACGGCGACACGGCCAACUACGCGCUGUUUGCGUGGACCAAAAUCAUCGGACCUGGACUCACUGUUGUCCCCAAUUCCCAAUUUGGAGCGUCGGAGAUAUUUGCGAGGGGCAUGACUGUUGCUGCGUUUAGAGACAGAAAUCGUGAGAGAUACGAGGAAUACCAACGACAAGGAGGAGCGAUUAUUGGCAGAUAACCCGCCCGGUACACCGCAGAUAUGACGAGCCUUGACAAGCGUUCUGACGGACUGGUAUGCGCCGUUAUCCGCAUUGUCAGGUGACAUUGGUUCAGCGUCAUUCGCUACAUUUGUAGCUCCUUCUGCAUAUUACAGUACAUUGUAGCUCGCGUUACAAUAAAACAUUUUUUAAUC